CGAAGAGGGCGGGGAGUCACCCGAAAACGGACCAAUCAGCGCCGACCGGAACUACGCAGUAGCCAAUCGUACAACGCGGAAGUUGCCUGAACGUCAGUAAUAACUGUCGAAUGCAUUUCUAUGGCAAUGAUAAAAUGUUCAGCAAACUUCGCAUUUAAGGUGUCUGGGGAUUCAUUUUACUUGGUGUAUUCUGUGACAUAUUCAACAAUGUUCUGAAGGAAAUGUACAAGACUCAGAGGCAUUCACAAUCCUGAUGAGAAGUACGUACACAGUUUUGUUCCCUCUGUUUUAGCUAAUGUCAUAAGAUCAUUAUUC